rnacentral:rRNA from 1 species
GACGAACGCUGGCGGCGUGCUUAACACAUGCAAGUCGAACGGUAAGGCCCUUCGGGGUACACGAGUGGCGAACGGGUGAGUAACACGUGGGUGAUCUGCCCUGCACUUCGGGAUAAGCCUGGGAAACUGGGUCUAAUACCGGAUAGGACCACUGCCUGCAUGGGUGGUGGUGGAAAGCUUUUGCGGUGUGGGAUGGGCCCGCGGCCUAGCAGCUUGUUGGUGGGGUGAGGGCCUACCAAGGCGACAACGGGUAGCCGGCCUGAGAGGGGCACCUGCCACGCUAGGACUGAAUUACGGCCCAGACUCCUGCGGGAGGCAGCAGUGGGGAAGAGUGCACACUGGGCGCAAGCCUGAUGGAGCGACGCAUCGUGACGGAUGACGGCCUUCGGAUUGUAAUCCUCUUUUAGUAGGGAAGAAGCGAAGGUGACGGUACCUGCAGAAAAAGCACCGGCUAACUACGUGCCAGCAGCCGCCGUAA